GAUGAACGCUGGCGGCGUGCCUAAUACAUGCAAGUCGAGCGAACAGAGGAGGAGCUUGCUCCUCUGACGUUAGCGGCGGACGGGUGAGUAACACGUGGAUAACCUACCUAUAAGACUGGGAUAACUUCGGGAAACCGGAGCUAAUACCGGAUAAUAUAUUGAACCGCAUGGUUCAAUAGUGAAAGACGGUUUUGCUGUCACUUAUAGAUGGAUCCGCGCCGCAUUAGCUAGUUGGUAAGGUAACGGCUUACCAAGGCGACGAUGCGUAGCCGACCUGAGAGGGUGAUCGGCCACACUGGAACUGAGACACGGUCCAGACUCCUACGGGAGGCAGCAGUAGGGAAUCUUCCGCAAUGGGCGAAAGCCUGACGGAGCAACGCCGCGUGAGUGAUGAAGGUCUUCGGAUCGUAAAACUCUGUUAUUAGGGAAGAACAAAUGUGUAAGUAACUAUGCACGUCUUGACGGUACCUAAUCAGAAAGCCACGGCUAACUACGUG
rnacentral:rRNA from 1 species